AGUGAACGCUGGCGGUAGGCCUAACACAUGCAAGUCGAACGGCAGCACAGUAAGAGCUUGCUCUUACGGGUGGCGAGUGGCGGACGGGUGAGGAAUACAUCGGAAUCUACUUUUUCGUGGGGGAUAACGUAGGGAAACUUACGCUAAUACCGCAUACGACCUACGGGUGAAAGCAGGGGAUCUUCGGACCUUGCGCGAUUGAAUGAGCCGAUGUCGGAUUAGCUAGUUGGCGGGGUAAAGGCCCACCAAGGCGACGAUCCGUAGCUGGUCUGAGAGGAUGAUCAGCCACACUGGAACUGAGACACGGUCCAGACUCCUACGGGAGGCAGCAGUGGGGAAUAUUGGACAAUGGGGGCAAGCCUGAUCCAGCCAUACCGCGUGAGUGAAGAAGGCCUUCGGGUUGUAAAGCCCUUUUGUUGGGAAAGAAAAGCAGCAGGUUAAUACCCCGCGGUUCUGACGGUACCCGAAGAAUAAGCACCGGCUAACUUCGUG
rnacentral:rRNA from 1 species